CAGUCGAACGGAUGGUUUCGGCCAUCAGUGGCGCACGGGUGAGUAACGCGUGGGAAUCUGCCCAGCAGUGGGGGAUAACCUCGGGAAACUGAGGCUAAUACCGCAUACGCCCCUCGGGGGAAAGGCUUGCUGCUGCUGGAGGAGCCCGCGUCGGAUUAGGUAGUUGGUGGGGUAACGGCCUACCAAGCCUGUGAUCCGUAGCUGGUCUGAGAGGAUGAUCAGCCACACUGGGACUGAGACACGGCCCAGACUCCUACGGGAGGCAGCAGUGGGGAAUAUUGGACAAUGGGCGCAAGCCUGAUCCAGCAAUGCCGCGUGAGUGAUGAAGGCCUUCGGGUUGUAAAGCUCUUUCGCCCACGACGAUGAUGACGGUAGUGGGAGAAGAAGCCCCGGCUAACUUCGUGCCAGCAGCCGCGGUAAUACGAAGGGGGCUAGCGUUGUUCGGAAUGACUGGGCGUAAAGGGCGCGUAGGCGGCGCAUCAAGUCGGGCGUGAAAGCCCCGGGCUCAACCUGGGAACUGCGUUCGAGACUGGUGUGCUGGAGUUCGGGAGAGGAGAGUGGAAUUCCCAGUGUAGAGGUGAAAUUCGUAGAUAUUGGGAAGAACACCGAUGGCGAAGGCAGCUCUCUGGACCGAUACUGACGCUGAGGCGCGAAAGCGUGGGGAGCAAACA
rnacentral:rRNA from 1 species